rnacentral:rRNA from 1 species
GACAGAGGAUGCAAGCGUUAUCCGGAAUGAUUGGGCGUAAAGCGUCUGUAGGUGGCUUUUUAAGUCCGCCGUCAAAUCCCAGGGCUCAACCCCGGACUUGCAGUGGGUACGGGCAGACUAGAGUGUGGUAGGGGAGACUGGAAUUCCUGGUGUAGCGGUGAAAUGCGCAGAUAUCAGGAGGAACACCGAUGGCGAAGGCAGGUCUCUGGGCCACUACUGACGCUG